ACGGAAACGCAAAUUGAUACAUACUCCUUUGCAAUAUUUACCCUGGUUUUUACUCUUUUUUUUAUGUUUUAAAUUCUACAAAAAAUCUGGCUUUUCCUCGUAUUGCAAUUCAUACAUAUUUAUGGUAUUACGAAUACAUCGUUGCGGGAUCCCAAUUCUUUUAAGAGACAAUGCUAAUGCCAGAUUCAAUGGUUUUAUUUAUUUUCAUGAAUGGAAAAAAUGAUUUUUUCCUUUUCAAAUUUUUUUGCA